AUGGAAGACGGUGCGGCUCGGCAUGAGCUGCUUUGCUUUGAUGUUCAGCUUGUCCAUGGUGUCGCGGUACAGUAUGUUGAUACUGCUCCCGCCGUCUAUCAGGACGCGGGAAAAUCUGGCAGCUCGCCUCUCCGUCGCAAGGGUGACGUCCAAGACCAUAGCAUAGGAGCCAGGCGAAGGCAUCACCUCUGGGUGGUCGGCCUGGCUCCAGCUGAUGGGCUUUUCCGACCAAUGCAUGAACUCGGCGGUGCUAGAGGCGACUGCGUUUACUUCUUGGUGUUGCCGGCGUCGGCUGCGCUUAUCGUCGACUUGACUCGUGAAGACGACGUAGGCGUCGUGCGCUUCGGGGAACUCGUCUUGGAUGGCGCCCACUGCAGGCUGGGCCGCAGGCUGCUGGGGAGCUGGAGGCGGCGGGCCGGGAGGCGGAGGCGGCACCAUCCCUUCGCCCUUGGUGAUGCGGGUGAGCCAGUGGCAUUUACGUGUUGUAUGGUUGGACGGCUUCGCGCCGCUGUGGAACUUGCAGGGGGCAUCGAGUGCUUGCUCGUAGGAGAAGGACGGCUGCCAGGGCGGCCGGCCUCCCUUCUUCUUGGGAGCGGGCCGCUCCUCGGGCUGCUCGUCUUCAACUGUGGCCACCUGCCGACUGGAGGAAGUCAGCAUGGGGCCCUUGCGCUUGUGGUCGUUCUGGUAGGGGCGCCGGUUUGGGUCGCCAGCCGGCGUCUUGGGAGCCGGAGCGACUACCUUCCCCGAGGCGUCCACUCGGAGCUCGGUCUUCAUGGAGGAGUCGGCAGUGGCAUACUUGUCGGCGGUGAUCAGCAACUCAUCGAGGGUGCCCUCUCAGCACCCGGCAGUGAAGUACUCGAUGGCCUGGACCUCGUGCACUCCCUCGCAGGAGUUGCGGAGCUCGGCCCAUCGCAUGAGGUAGUCGCGGGUCGACUCGUUGGGCCCUUGGACGCAGAGGGAGAGCUGGCGAGGCUUGGGAGGCCACUUGUAGGUGCUGGUGAAGUUGCGGACGAAAACUUCGGUGAAGUCCAGCUAGCUGUUGAUGCUGAACGGCUUGAGGCUGUUGAGCCACGUGCGCGCCGUCCCUUGCAGCAUGAAGGGGACGUACUUCACGGCGACGCGCCGAUUGCCGUUGGCUAUGCUGACGGCCGUGGAGUAGUCGAUGAGCCAAUCUUCCGGCUUCACCGAGCCGUUGUACUUGGGCGUGUCUCUGGGGAGCGAGAAACCUUUGGGGAAGGGCUCGUCGCGGAUGCGGGGGCCAAAGCAUGGCGGGCCGACAUCGUCUUCUUCUUCUAA
rnacentral:rRNA from 1 species